rnacentral:lncRNA from 1 species
UUCGUUCUUGUUUUCUUCCUCCUCUUGCUCUUCUGCCUCAUGCUUCAGAUCCUCUUCUUCUCGCUUUCCGAUUUCAUGCUUUGGAUCCUCUUCGUCUCCCUCUCCUACUUCAUGCUUCUGAUUCUCUUCUUCAUGCGCGUCUACUUCAUGUUUCUGAUCCUCUUCUUCAUGCACAUCUACUUCAGGUUUCUCGUCUUCCUGUCCUGCUCCUUCGUCUUCCUCCUCUUCCUCUUGUUUCUCAUUUUUAGGGAUUUCAAGUUUUGGAAGGUCUUUCCUCCCAAGUUUUGGAAGCUCACCCUCAUUCAGGCUUCCGGUUGAGAUUUUUUCAUCUUUCGUAUCUAAUGCCACUUUCUUAUCAUGGGAAUGCUUGACCUGAUAGAGUAACCAAAAGCAGACCCCGAGCAGCAGACAAAUCUGCAGAACAUGCUUCACCCUGAUUCCUUUGGUUCUUUGGUUCCUACUCGGUGUCCGCUUGAUCAUGAUGUACGCCCCCUAGUACCCUACUCCUAUCUUUACGUCUCCCUAAUCGCAAACAUAAAAAAUAUAGUGUCAGAAACCUGCCUAUACUCCAAACUGUAAAACUAAUAAACUUAAAAACAAUACUCAACCAAUGCAGAUCAGUCAAAUUAAAAGUCGAGAACACAAAUCUAAUACAAAUUUAACACCAAAACUUCAAAAGAAAACCAAACAUUGCCGAAACAGAUCCCUUGUGUGCCCAAUUUAUGUUUAAACUCUCACUCAAACUGCACGUUUUAAACCGCGAUUAAGAUGACACCAAUUUAGAAAUUCACCUACUUCUCUACAUACUUUGACUCAAAACACCAGAAACAUACACCCAAAUACACUAAUUUCAUUACACAAAAGAAAAGGGAAAUUCAGAAUCCAAACUAACCCAUUCACUUCCUCGUAGGAAAGCAGCAAACUUUACUAAAAGAAGCAAAACCCAUAGCCAGAAACAUGGUGGAAAAUUAACAACGAAAUUGAAAGAUAGCAUCCAAAUCAUAACUGUAUAACGAAGUAAACCCACAAGCAAACCCUACAACACCCCAUCAAUCAGAAAGAUCUUAAAUCACUUAAACCCCCAAAAAAUCCAAUCGUAUUAAUCCACAAGCAAAACCCAUCUUCCAAAUUAGUAAAUUGUGGGCAGCAAGGAGCUAUUCAACACUAAUAGAUAGCAAAUAUGGGAAAUUACUGAUUAAUUACUAAAAUACAUAAACUUACUGGAGAAAUUAAAAA